GGGAUGAGUGGUACCCGAGGACGCAGGGAUGAGGAGUGGCACCCAAGAACAUGAUGGUGAUCAUGCCAAAUCUGAUAUGCAGCAGCUAACCCACCUACGUGACCAUCGUGUGAUGUAUUCGUUUCCUUUGUCCUGUUUACUCGACCUGCGACGAUUUCGUUGCUGACAUCUGAAAUGGGCCCUUUCCCCUUCCUCCUUCCCCCCCCCCCCCGCCCCCCAACGAGCUAUAAUUUUUGCCGACGAGCGUUCGUGACCCCUAAACCAGCCGACGGCAGAGGCGGGCGCGGAGCUGCGCGGGUGCGGAGCGGCCGGGCGGGCGCGGAACCCCCGCGGGGCGGCGGGUCCGGGCCCGGGGAGCUGGUGCCAUCUGCAGGAAGGUUUCGGUUG